UUACAAUUCUAGUCCAAAUUAUUUUUUAGGCUUCCAAGUAUCCUAUGUGCUUAACUGCACAAGAAUUUCAAAGCUUCAACAAUAUUAGCACGAUGCAUGAUAGGAAUUAACAAAAUUCAAGAAUGAGUUUAAUAUUCCCAUAAAAGCAAGACUAGUAUAUUUCAUUUCCCAUUCCCACUAGGGAUUCCAUCUCCUUUGUGUAGGUUAUUG
rnacentral:misc_RNA from 1 species